AUUGCCUUGCUGGGGAAGCACUGUGACAUCCCCACCAACAGCUGUGAGUCCCAGUACUGGAACUCCACCUUGGCCCACAAGGACGAGCUCAUCAACAGUCUGGUGUCUGCCUUAGACUCCAUGUGCUCUGUGCUCUCUAAGCUGAACAUGAUGGUGGCCUGUGUGGCAGUUCACAAUGAGAUCGUCUGAGAGUGUCCUCGUGGUAUUCUUGAACACUCAGAAGGAUCUACAGUCAGACUUCCUCGGGUUCUGUCGU
rnacentral:lncRNA from 1 species